CGUGGAUAUCAAAAGUAAGGUUCCUGCUCUGGUUGCGAUGAUUAUCCCCAGAUGCAGUGGCCGCCUACUGAGAAUGGUACCCCAUCACUGGGCAGGCUCAUGUUUCAGGGCUCAUAGGCCCAUCCGUACACCUAACACUCACUCUCAUCAAUUUCAGGAUCUAUGUUGGGGAGGACUGUGAAGCGAUUUUCAGCAAGACUGCCCUCAAAGUCCACCUGAGGAGACAAGAAGUCCAGUGUUAUUGAGACACAGAAUCUCCAGUAUGGAAGAAGGAAAUAUUGAAGAGGAUAAAAAUGGAAUAUACAAGUUUCUAGAUCUGUCCACAGAAAAGGCCUACAAGCAAUAAUCCAAACAUGCCGAGUACCCUCUAGCACUCACCGUGGUAUACAGAAAUACCAUUUCUCACUAAAAGGAACCAGGGCUCCUCAGAGAAAUAUCUGGUUCCAGGUCAGAACCGGUACAUGUAAGUGGUAUAUCUGGUACAUCUUGUCAAACCAGAGAGUGGGGAAGUUAUCCAAGUCUACUAGUGUCAUGUUAAAGGACUCAGAAGCCAACAUGAAGAGGCUCCCAUUGGCCAAAGAUGGAAUAUCUCGAACAUGUGUAAAGAUUAAAAAUGCAGUGGCCUGAAGCACGAAGAAAUCUGUAAGUUUGUAAUGAUACUAAAACAACAACAGCAACCAAAAAAACUCAUUGGUUGCCUUGGAGGAUUAUGGAACUAAUUUCGUAUUUGCUGAUAGCUGGACAGAUAAAAUCGGGGGAAAAAAUCAAGCAAUGUUCUGUGAUAUCACUAGGUAACCAAAGAGUAGGUGAGAGGAAGUCUUCCUUCCAGAAACAUUCUAAUAAAUGAAGAAAGAAUGACAGAAUUAGAAUAACACUACUUUGCAAUCUCUAAAGAACUAAUGGACUUAUUAAACAUCAAAGACUGCUAUCAUCACAAAAUGAGAGUCAGACAUACUGACAUUAUGUUCCUCCAUUUAUGAAACACUAUUGAAAAAAAUUAAACUUGAACCUGAGCAAGCUUCUAGAUUCAACUAUUAAUUUACAGAAAUUCUAGAAGAGAG